ensembl:lncRNA CYTOR cytoskeleton regulator RNA
CUUCUUAGUCGUGUGUACAUCAUUGGGAAUGGAGGGAAAUAAAUGACUGGAUGGUCGCUGCUUUUUAAGUUUCAAAUUGACAUUCCAGACAAGCGGUGCCUGAGCCCGUGCCUGUCUUCAGAUCUUCACAGCACAGUUCCUGGGAAGGUGGAGCCACCAGCCUCUCCUUGACAAGCAAAGUGGAUCAGCAAAGGCUGCAGUCACCAGCAUCUUUUCCAACCUUAAUGAACUGUAUCCUCAAAAGAACACUAUCAGACUGAUGAGGAAACUGAAUCCCAGAAUGGUGGAGUGAUUUGACGAAUAUUGCAAAACUAUAAUGGGGAGAUGAGAUGGGGAUCCAAGUCUUGUGCCCCCAAAGACAGGGCACCAGGCAGCGUAGAGGUGGCCAGUACCAGAGCAACAGCCUAACAAUGGCUCUGCCGACUUCCAGUUCUGGAACAAGAUGGUUAAACUCAUUUUUCCCUGCUCUGCUCCUCUAAAUACAACUAAGUACCUUGGAAACUAUUCAGCAGACAAUGAUAAAGGGCUCUGAAAGCUAGAAGAAAAGGUGUACUUGCAAG